rnacentral:rRNA from 1 species
CUGAACGCUGGCGGCAGGCUUACACAUGCAAGUCGCGCGGGGUGAUGGUGCUUGCACUAUCACUUAGCGGCGGACGGGUGAGUAAUGCUUAGGAAUCUGCCUAUUAGUGGGGGACAACAUUUCGAAAGGAAUGCUAAUACCGCAUACGUCCUACGGGAGAAAGCAGGGGAUCUUCGGACCUUGCGCUAAUAGAUGAGCCUAAGUCGGAUUAGCUAGUUGGUGGGGUAAAGGCCUACCAAGGCGACGAUCUGUAGCGGGUCUGAGAGGAUGAUCCGCCACACUGGGACUGAGACACGGCCCAGACUCCUACGGGAGGCAGCAGUGGGGAAUAUUGGACAAUGGGCGCAAGCCUGAUCCAGCCAUGCCGCGUGUGUGAAGAAGGCCUUAUGGUUGUAAAGCACUUUAAGCGAGGAGGAGGCUACUCUAGUUAAUACCUAGAGAUAGUGGACGUUACUCGCAGAAUAAGCACCGGCUAACUCUGUGCCAGCAGCCGCGGUAAUACAGAGGGUGCAAGCGUUAAUCGGAUUUACUGGGCGUAAAGCGCGCGUAGGCGGCUAAUUAAGUCAAAUGUGAAAUCCCCGAGCUUAACUUGGGAAUUGCAUUCGAUACUGGUUAGCUAGAGUGUGGGAGAGGAUGGUAGAAUUCCACGUGUAGCGGUGAAAUGCGUAGAGAUCUGGGAGGAUACCGAUGGCGAGCAGCCAUCUGGCCUACACUGACGCUGAGUGCGAAGCAUGGGAGCAACAGAUUAGAUACCCUGUAGUCAUGCCGUAACGAUGUCUACUAGCCGUUGGGCCUUUGAGCUUUAGUGCGCACCUACGCGAUAGUAACCGCUGGGAGUACGUCCAGACUAAACUCAAUGAUGACGGGCCGCCAAGCGUGACAUGUGUAUCGAUGCACGGAAACUACUGCUGGAUAUAGACUUCC